rnacentral:misc_RNA from 1 species
GUAGGUGAACCUGCGGAAGGAUCAUUAUUGAAAUAAACCUGAUGGGUUGUUGCUGGCUCUCUAGGGAGCAUGUGCACGCCUUGUCAUCUUUAUAUCUCCACCUGUGCACCUUUUGUAGACCUUGGAUAUUUUUUCAUGGUCUAUGUUGCUUCAUUUACCCCUAAUGUAUGUUAAUAGAAUGUUUGUGCCUAUAAAAUUUAUACAACUUUCAGCAACGGAUCUCUUGGCUCUC